rnacentral:lncRNA from 13 species
GCGGACACGGGGUCGGGGGGCUCCGAGUCCCGACCGACCCCCGCCCCCCGACCCCUGCGCUGUCCCCCCAGGCUGUGGCCGGCUGUCGGCCAGCUGGGAGCCCCUGGGGGGGCCCAGUAAGCCCAGUCCCGUGGCCGCCCAGUUCAGCAGCGAGGGCAGCACCUUGUCGGGGGUGGAGGUGGAGCUGGCGGGCGCCGGGUACCGCAUGUCGCUGGUCAAGAAGAGGUUUGCGACAGGGAUUUACCUGGCGGGGUCCUGAGCCGCCUCCCAGCGCCCCCCCGAGCCCCCCCGGGCUUCUCCUGUGGUUGUGUGAACUGGAAAACACUGGAUGGAGGGAGGCUGGGGAGGGGGCUCUUCCUCCUU